GUCCACUUACUGCAGAUACAUCCAUGUCAGCUCCAUCAGUCUGACAGCAGGUCCACUUACUGCAGAUACAUCCAUGUCAGCUCCAUCAGUCUGACAGCAGGUCCACUUACUGCAGAUACAUCCAUGUCAGCUCCAUCAGUCUGACAGCAGGUCCACUUACUGCAGAUACAUCCAUGUCAGCUCCAUCAGUCUGACAGCAGGUCCACUUACUGCAGAUACAUCCAUGUCAGCUCCAUCAGUCUGACAGCAGGUCCACUUACUACAGAUACAUCCAUGUCAGCUCCAUCAGUAGGUCCACUUACUACAGAUACAUCCAUGUCAGCUCCAUCAGUAGGUCCACUUACUACAGAUACAUCCAUGUCAGCUCCAUCAGUAGGUCCACUUACUACAGAUACAUCCAUGUCAGCUCCAUCAGUAGGUCCACUUACUACAGGUACAUCCAUGUCAGCUCCAUCAGUAGGUCCACUUACUACAGGUACAUCCAUGUCAGCUCCAUCAGUCUGACAGCAGGUCCACUUACUACAGGUACAUCCAUGUCAGCUCCAUCAGUCUGACAGCAGGUCCACUUACUACAGGUACAUCCAUGUCAGCUCCAUCGGUCUGACAGCAGGUCCACUUACUACAGAUACAUCCAUGUCAGCUCCAUCAGUCUGACAGCAGGUCCACUUACUACAGGUACAUCCAUGUCAGCUCCAUCAGUCUGACAGCAGGUCCACUUACUACAGGUACAUCCAUGUCAGCUCCAUCAGUCUGACAGCAGGUCCACUUUCUACAGAUACAUCCAUGUCAGCUCCAUCAGUCUGACAGCAGGUCCACUUACUACAGGUACAUCCAUGUCAGCUCCAUCAGUAGGUCCACUUACUACAGGUACAUCCAUGUCAGCUCCAUCAGUCUGACAGCAGGUCCACUUACUACAGGUACAUCCAUGUCAGCUCCAUCGGUAGGUCUACUUACUACAGGUACAUCCAUGUCAGCUCCAUCAGUCUGACAGUAGGUCCACUUACUACAGGUACAUCCAUGUCAGCUCCAUCGGUAGGUCUACUUACUACAGGUACAUCCAUGUCAGCUCCAUCAGUCUGACAGUAGGUCCACUUACUACAGGUACAUCCAUGUCAGCUCCAUCGGUAGGUCUACUUACUACAGGUACAUCCAUGUCAGCUCCAUCAGUCUGACAGUAGGGCCACUUACUACAGGUACAUCCAUGUCAGCUCCAUCAGUAGGUCCACUUACUACAGAUACAUCCAUGUCAGUAGGUCCACUUACUACAGGUACAUCCAUGUCAGCUCCAUCAGUCUGACAGUAGGUCCACUUACUACAGAUACAUCCAUGUCAGCUCCAUCGGUAGGUCUACUUACUACAGAUACA